UUGAGUGACUUUCUCACGACUUGUGUGACCCAAAUUAAGCGAAGACAAUAGCUCUUUAAGGCAUUUUUGAUUGUUUUAAUAGCAAUCCUUUGGAUGUUAUUCAAGUGUAACACAAAUUAGCAUGAAUUGACGUGCUAAACGAAUAGAGAACGAACAUGAUUUACAUAUCGACGAAACUGAACAGGACCUGGUGGCAAGUUAAUAAUAAGCCAUAUUCUUAUAAAGUUCUAGCCUGAAGUUUGUCCGAAUCGAUCGCAUUUUCAUCGUCAUAUUCCGGGAACAAUUCUUCUCGUGAAGCCAGCUGUUAUCAUGGGUAAAAUGAGCUGGAAACUAAACAAAAACAACGUUUCCAUGUGAAUGUUAAUGGCCUGAGUUUAAUCUAGUUGCCGAAACCUAAGAAGGGUUUCUUAUUUAGUCCUAUACUUCCACUGAUGUAAAAAGAAUCUUCAUCAAAUUAUCAACUGGGACAAAACGAUGGCUGUCCGGAUAGGGACGAUUUUUCGCAUUCUGUUGCUGUUAGGCAGCUUGAUUCAUUUAGCUAACGAAGAAGUUCCAUUAAAGCACUCCAGUGUUGAGUAUCCCGCUAACUAAGCAGAGGGGAAGGAAUGCCGCCGUCUCUUCUCGCUCCCUACAGGAAA